rnacentral:rRNA from 1 species
AUUGAACGCUGGCGGCAUGCCUUACACAUGCAAGUCGAACGGUAACGGGCCUUCGGGUGCCGACGCGUGGCGAACGGGUGAGUAAUACAUCCGAACGUGCCCGAUCGUGGGGGGUAACGAGUCGAAAGCUUUGCUAAUACCGCAUACGAUCUACGGAUGAAAGCCGGGGACCGCAAGGCCUAGCGCGGACGGAGCGGCCGAUGGCAGAUUAGGUAGUUGGUGGGAUAAAAGCUUACCAAGCCGACGAUCUGUAGCUGGUCUGAGAGGAUGAUCAGCCACACUGGGACUGAGACACGGCCCAGACUCCUACGGGAGGCAGCAGUGGGGAAUUUUGGACAAUGGGCGCAAGCCUGAUCCAGCCAUGCCGCGUGAAGGAUGAAGGCCUUCGGGUUGUAAACUGCUUUUGUACGGAACGAAAAGCCUUCUUUUAAUACAGGAGGGUCAUGACGGUACCGUAAGAAUAAGCACCGGCUAACUACGUG